CUGGUUUCUGGGACCAGUGACUCGGUCACCUGGGCCUCUGUCCUUCUGCAGGUAAGACCUUGCCUCUACCUUCUGGGAGGGAACCUGAACUCUCUCGGCCCUCGGCAGUCCAGGAAGUCUGCCGCUUCCUUAUUCGAGAUGUCUUAUUAAACUGUAAUCAGACUGCGAGAGGAGCCAGUCAAAGCAGUGGCUAUUAAUAGGGAGGCGAGGAAAGCUGACUAAGGAGGGAGCGGACUUAGACUGGAGGGAAGAGCCUGGCCACCUUGGCCCACAGUCCUCGGACACAGGGUCGACGUCUUGGAGGCGAAGGCAUUCUGGCGCAGCGAAGAAACAAUACAGGUUGUCCUUGGGCCCAGCGGCUGAUCCUUGACCACCUGAGAAAAGGGGGUGACUACUACUUGGGAGCCUCCUCGAAGACCUCAACAUUGACUGGAGACCUCCUGGUGGUUAGAAAAAGCUUUGUGUUGGGGUGAGAUCCUGGCAUCUAGAUCCACAUCACUACUUCCCUACACAUCACUGAAUUCCUUGGCUGUCAAAUGAAUAAAGGAGCUUUUACAUGUAUUCCUUGGAGUUGA
rnacentral:lncRNA from 1 species